AACGAACGCUGGCGGCAUGCCUAACACAUGCAAGUCGAACGAGACCUUCGGGUCUAGUGGCGCACGGGUGCGUAACGCGUGGGAACCUGCCCUUAGGUUCGGAAUAACUCCCCGAAAGGGGUGCUAAUACCGGAUAAUGUCUUCGGACCAAAGAUUUAUCGCCUUUGGAUGGGCCCGCGUUGGAUUAGCUAGUUGGUAGGGUAAAAGCCUACCAAGGCGACGAUCCAUAGCUGGUCUGAGAGGAUGAUCUGCCACACUGGGACUGAGACACGGCCCAGACUCCUGCGGGAGGCAGCAGUGGGGAAUAUUGUACAAUGGGCGAAAGCCUGAUCCAGCAAUGCCGCGUGAGUGAUGAAGGCCUUAGGGUUGUAAAGCUCUUUUACCCGGGAUGAUAAUGACAGUACCGGGAGAAUAAGCUCCGGCUAACUCCGUG
rnacentral:rRNA from 1 species